GGAUGGAUAUCUGAGCGGUUGAAAGAGUCGGUCUUGAAAACCGAAGUAUUGAUAGGAAUACCGGGGGUUCGAAUCCCUCUCCAUCCG
rnacentral:tRNA from 1 species